UAAUUGUAUCACAUUAAAAUGAUUCAUAUAAUUGUACAUUUAUAUAUAGGAGGAGGAAGAAUAAGGCAUGUAUAUUGACACUAUAAUGAGUUGUUUCUUAUAAAAGUACUAUAUAUAAAGCCCUUGAUCUGUUUCUCUACCCAGCCAAAUUUGAGAGUUUUCCCAAUACUUAAAAUCAAACAUCAAAGGUUUCAGGUAUGAAGCAUGGAAGGCAUUGUUGAUUUCAAUCAUCCAUUGUUUUUGCACCCCUCGGAUAAGCCAAGAGUGCAUCUGGUCUCUCAUUAGCUUGUGGGUUUGGAAAACUAUAGUAUAUGGAGCAAAUCGAUGCGGAUUGCCCUUCUUGCAAAAAAACAAGCUGGGAUUCAUUGAUGAAACUGUCACAAAGACGAUUAUGAGUAGGCAUUGCAUCCAUAAUGGGAGAGAUGCAAUGCAAUGGUGUUAUCCUAGAUACUCAACACCGUUAAUCAGGAACUUUCGGUUGGGAUUGUGUUUGCUUCCAGUACGGCGUUGCCGUGGCAAGAUUUGAAGGAACGCUUUGACAAAGUUAAUGGGUUAAGGAUUUUCUUCCUUCAUCGAUCGAUUGUAACUCUUAACCAGGGUGAGUCUACUUUUUCUAUUUACUUCACACGUCUCAAACUUUUGUGGAACGAGUAUAGUGCUUUGGUCCUGUUUACAUCAUGCAAUUGUGAGGUUUCUCAAUUGAAUCAUGUGCAUAUGGUUCAGCAGAGUUAGAUUUUGCUUAUGCAACCACUUCGGUAAAUCAAGCAUAUUCGAUAAUAGUACAAGAGGAAUCACAUGUGUGCACUUGUCUAGAGUUCCUAUUGUGGAGAAUACUAUAAUGUUUUCAAAUGCCUCUAGAAGUUCAGAUCACUACCGAUACAAUGGGGUUUGCGACUACUGCAAAAUUAAAGGCCAUCAUCAUGAUAAUUGCUACCAACUGAUUAGUUUCCCCUCAGAUUUUAAGUUCACAAAGAAGAAAAUUCCACAGGCAGCUAUGGCCAUCAAUUCAGAGGUAAUUGAUCACUCAACUUCUGACCUUGGUUCGUCGGCUACUUCUACUGCCUUGUAUUUACCGACAUUCAUUGCUGACCAAUACAACAAAAUUUUGAGUCUCAUCAACAAGGCUCCUUCGAAGGAUUUCAUUGUAAAUCUUACAGGUACUGUUUCUGGAUGUUUACCUGCUACUAAUGGAUCUCUUCGUUGGAUUUUAGAUACAAGGAAGACAGAUCAUAUCGUAUCUUGUUGUUUCUUGUUUCAUGUGUUACACCUUGUUAUGCUCAUCUACCAAAUAGUAAAACAUAUACUAUUGCCCAUAUAGGUUCUUAUAGGUUGACCCAUGAUCACCUCAUUACCAAUGUCUUACUUGUUCCGAAUUUUUCUCACAAUCACCUUUCAGUGUCUAAACUUUCCAAAGAACUUAAUUAUUCCAUCGUGUUUUAUCCUGACUUUUGUCUGCUGUAGGAUCUCUCGAAUAACAUGAUUAAGAGGAUUGGUAGAGAGUCUAGAGGGCUAUAUUUUUUUGAGUCUGUUAAAGGAGUUUCUGGUUUGUUAUAUUCAGUUCAAUGUAGUGUUUUCCCUUUUUCCAAUGUUGUUUCUCAUGAUGAUUCAAUGUCUGCUGAUCAGCAAUCUAUUGUUUUGCACAAUAAUACUCAUGUAUGGAAUGCUCGUUUAGGGCAUGCUUCUAUUACAAUAAUGUAAAAGUUACUUGUUUUUAAUUCUUGCAAA